rnacentral:rRNA from 1 species
GACUGUGGAUGCAAGCGUUAUCCUGAAUCACUGGGCGUAAAGCGACUGUAGGUGGUGAUGCAAGUCACUGGUGCAAAACUCUGGCUCAACCGGAGGAAAGCCAGUGAAACUGCAUGACUAGAGUGUGGGAGAGGUAGAAGGAAUUCCCUGAGUAGCGGUGAAAUGCGUAGAUACAGGGAAGAACACCGGAGGCGAAAGCGUUCUACUGGAACACAACUGACACUGAGAGACGAAAGCUAGGGGAGCGAAUGGG